ensembl:rRNA 5S_rRNA 5S ribosomal RNA
CCCUGCCACCCUGAACGCACCCAAUCUCAUCUGAUCUUAGAAGCUAAGCAGGGUCGGGCUUGGUUAGUACUUGGAUGGGAAAAAUUUAUUCUCACAGUUUUAGUAACUGGAAGUCCAAAUUCAAGGC